rnacentral:tRNA from 1 species
GGGGAUGUAAUUCAGGAGCAGAAUGAGUGCCUAGCAUGUACAAGGCUCUGGGUUCAAUUCCCAGUACUACCA